AUUGAACGCUGGCGGCAGGCCUAACACAUGCAAGUCGAGCGGAUGAAGGGAGCUUGCUCCUGGAUUCAGCGGCGGACGGGUGAGUAAUGCCUAGGAAUCUGCCUGGUAGUGGGGGAUAACGUCCGGAAACGGGCGCUAAUACCGCAUACGUCCUGAGGGAGAAAGUGGGGGAUCUUCGGACCUCACGCUAUCAGAUGAGCCUAGGUCGGAUUAGCUAGUUGGUGGGGUAAAGGCCUACCAAGGCGACGAUCCGUAACUGGUCUGAGAGGAUGAUCAGUCACACUGGGACUGAGACACGGUCCAGACUCCUACGGGAGGCAGCAGUGGGGAAUAUUGGACAAAGGGCGAAAGCCUGAUCCAGCCAUGCCGCGUGUGUGAAGAAGGUCUUCGGAUUGUAAAGCACUUUAAGUGGGGAAGAAGAGCAGUAAGUUAAUACCUUGCUGUUUUGACGUUACCAACAGAAUAAGCACCGGCUAACUUCGUG
rnacentral:rRNA from 1 species